rnacentral:lncRNA from 1 species
UUAGACCCAACUUCCCCUACAGGUGGAGGCGGGCUGUCUGCAGACGGAAAAUGAGCAAACCUGGAUGAGGCAUGGGGGUGGCCCACAUGAAAUAUCAAGGUCAUAGACCGCUCAAUGAGCCAGUAGAGCCAAGCAUUCUGUGGGCAACACCUAUACAACACAAAAUUACACAGGGUGAAACGCGGGCACAUCGUUCAUGUUUCUUUUUCGUUUUAACCCCCCCCUAAAUCCUGCACACUGCACAAGAGACCAGUAAAUGCUGUUCAAGUGAUGGUAUGGGCUCCUUACUUGACUGUUAAAAAUCAGGAAAAUGUACAAUCAGUCUAAUAUAGUUUGUGUGGACAUCCUAAAGGUGUCCUACCGGCACUUACAAAUCACCUGGACACCCUCUCCGUGCAGUAUUUGUGCACAAUCAGUAAGGAGCCAGUGCACACACCUCAUUAAUGACUAGAGCAAGGGCACCAUAUGAAAGCAUCCCCCAAAUGCCUGGAGUGUCACAUACAACCCUUACAGGCAUAACUCAGUGUGUUUGUGAGAGUUUGUGUAAAUGGAAAUCUGCCUAUUUUUUCACCAUCAGUAUUUAAUAGCCUUUUUAAAAAGAAAUGUUGACUUCCUAGUCUUUUUAGGAGAUGAGGAAAAAUAUUAUCAAUGAACUAGAAUAUGAAAUUGAUUGUGUGCCCGUCUUUCUGGACAGACUGCUUUCUGUCAUUCUACAGUAAAAGUCUAGAGGAGUUUCCGACUUUUUCUUGAGUGAAAACCAGCUCACUUCAAGUUGAGACCUUGAGGCUCUUAGAGACUGCAAAAUAUUUGUGACUUGGUCUAAGAUUAGUAAUAUUAAUGAUUUACAAAACAGAUGUAAUAAAAUAAAAAAAUGCCUUACCAGAAGACACCUGGAGAAGCAAGUUGAGGUGGAAAAGAUGUUGACCACAGAUUUGUAAAAUAGCACCUGAACAAACAACAACAGCUCUGAACAACUCUGAUGAUUCUUGACAUAAAAUCCACAUCUGACAAAACCAACGGGGGGUGAAGAGGUAGAGCGGUCGACCUCUUGCGGGUUUGGUACCUGCUCUGCAUGCCCAUGUGCCGAAGUGUCUUUGAGCAAGACGCUGAACCCCACAUAGAUACUCGUGGUUACCGGUUGGCACCAUUGUUCAGCGGUGGAGCUGCCAUUAGUGUGUGAAUGUGUGUGCAUGGGUGAGUGGAAUUGUGGUUGUAGAGCGAUUUGGGACUUCAAAGAAGAUAGUAAAGGGCUAUAUAAGUAGACGUCAUUUAUCCUUUACAAACUACAACAAAUCAGCAAAACAUUAGGCAUAGUGGUGGGAGGAAAGAGAUUUAGGCUUUAAAUACCAAAGUUUUCAAGGUAAAAUGACUGUUCUACAGCUGCAGCGUAUUCAGAACAGGAGUUUAAACCAUAGUCAAGGGAACUGAUCACAUCAUCACACUCUCGGUGUAUGCUAAUAGUUUAGCAUACUAGUCUAAACACUUGGCAGAUCUCCUUGUACACAAACCGGUUGGGACCUGGGAUCAGUUGCUACCUUGGCCCAAACCCAAACCAAGUGAAUCUGCUUUUUAAAUUGAACAUGAUCAGACAGCAGUGGUCCCAAGCACAGCGAUAAAUCAACAACAGGAUGACAAAAUGUUAGGAAUGAUGGUUCUGGCCACAGUCAGUCCAGCAGUCCUUUGGCCUCAGUGUACAAAAGAGUUAGCCAUAAACUGUAAUACAUCUGUCACACAUAGAACAUGACUGAGGUUUUUGGCAAAACUGCAUCUAUGAUGUAGAUAACUGUUAGACAUAUGAGAAGUUACGUGGUGCGUUUGCCCUGAUGUGUAAAUCCUCUGAGACAAAAGGGGGUGUGCGCUCUCUUUCUCAUGACGAUUCCAAGUCACCAGGAACACACAGUGGAACUGCAUAUUUG